UACAGAGGUGGCAAACGUUGUCCGGAUUUAUUGGGUGUAAAGGGCAUGUAGGCGGUCUUGUAAGUCAAAGGUGAAAUGGCCCGGCUUAACCAGGUCAUUGCCUUUGAAACUGCAGGGCUUGAGUACGGAAGAGGAAAGCGGAAUUCCCAGUGUAGCGGUGAAAUGCGUAGAUAUUGGGAGGAACACCGGUGGCGAAGGCGGCUUUCUGGUCCGAAACUGACGCUGAGAUGCGAAAGCCAGGGGAGCAAACGGG
rnacentral:rRNA from 1 species